CUAACCAACUUUAUUUAGUAUGAAGUCAAGUUGCUUGUGUUUUGAAGCAGUGUGCAGAGGGAAAUUUCACCGCAAAGAUGAAGCUGUGUAAAACGUUUUUACAGCAGGGCUGUCCAUCUGCACUGGGGCUUUAAGAAGUGCCUGAGAUUAGAUGGGGGAGAAAAAGGCCCCAGCUGGUAACCGAAGAGGAGAAAAUGAGUUCAGAGG